GUCUACGGCCGUGCCACCCUGAACGAGCCUGAUCUCAUCUGAUCUCGGAAGCUAAGCAGGUUCGAGCCUGGUUAGUACUUGGAUGGGAGACCACCUAGGAAGACCAGGUGCUGUAGGUG
rnacentral:rRNA from 1 species